CACGCAAUGAAUAGGUUUAAAGGGAAACAGGAGACAAAGUUGCUUUUAGAAGAAUCCUGCUUGUUCAACGUGUUGGGCACAUUAUUAUUACUUAUCUAGCACUAACCAUGUGCUAAGCACUGUAUAUUCUCCAAAUAACUCACAGAGGCGGCUCCGCACCAGACCUCUGACUUCUGUGCCUUAGAUGGUCAGGCCUCUCAUCUGUAACCCAACAUGCGAUCCUAGCAGAAUCCAGUCAAAUCUCUAGAAGUGGACAUGAUGUUGGCCUACUCUGGACGGUGGCCGAGUCAGCUCUCGCCAGCCUCCCACGUGCCCCAGUGCGCUUGCUAUUUCAGUCACAGUCACCAAGUGCUUCCGUCUGAACCUCUUGAGGCUACAAGGACGUUAGAAGGCAGGCCUUUGUGGAAUCCAGUGAGAACAUGUGCGUUUCACUUCCAAACCUCUAUUCAAGUUAACCCAACUGAAAUCAAUCACCUGAUUCCUUUUGAAAGAAUCUUG
rnacentral:lncRNA from 1 species